GACGAACGCUGGCGGCGUGCCUAAUACAUGCAAGUCGAGCGCAGGAAAUCGACGGAACCCUUCGGGGGGAAGUCGACGGAAUGAGCGGCGGACGGGUGAGUAACACGUAAAGAACCUGCCCUCAGGUCUGGGAUAACCACGAGAAAUCGGGGCUAAUACCGGAUGGGUCAUCGGACCGCAUGGUCCGAGGAUGAAAGGCGCUUCGGCGUCGCCUGGGGAUGGCUUUGCGGUGCAUUAGCUAGUUGGUGGGGUAAUGGCCGACCAAGGCGACGAUGGAUAGCCGACCGGGGAGGGUGAUCGGCCACACUGGGACUGUGACACGGCCCAGACGCCUACGGGAGGCAGCAGUAGGGAAUCUUCCUCAAUGGACGAAAGUCUGAUAGAGCAACGCCGCGUGAACGAUGAAGGCCUUCGGGUCGUAAAGUUCUGUUGUAAGGGAAGAACAAGUGCCGCAGGCAAUGGCGGCACCUUGACGGUACCUUGCGAGAAAGCCACGGCUAACUACGUGCCAGCAGCCGCAGUAA
rnacentral:rRNA from 1 species